rnacentral:rRNA from 1 species
UGGGGAAUAUUGCACAAUGGGCGAAAGCCUGAUGCAGCAACGCCGCGUGAGGGACGACGGCCUUCGGGUUGUAACCUCUUUUAGCAAGGAAGAAGCGAAAGUGACGGUACUUGCAGAAAAAGCGCCGGCUAACUACGUGCCAGCAGCCGCGGUAAUACGUAGGGCGCAAGCGUUAUCCGGAAUUAUUGGGCGUAAAGAGCUCGUAGGCGGUUUGUCGCGUCUGCUGUGAAAACCCGAGGCUCAACCUCGGGCCUGCAGUGGGUACGGGCAGACUAGAGUGCGGUAGGGGAGAUUGGAACUCCUGGUGUAGCGGUGGAAUGCGCAGAUAUCAGGAAGAACACCGAUGGCGAAGGCGGAUCUCUGGGCCGUAACUGACGCUGAGGAGCGAAAGGGUGGGGAGCAAACAGGCUUAGAUACCCUGGUAGUCCACCCCGUAAACGUUGGGAACUAGUUGUGGGGUCCAUUCCACGGAUUCCGUGGACGCAGCUAACGCAUUAAGUUCCCCGCCUGGGGAGUAC